rnacentral:rRNA from 1 species
AUUGAACGCUGGCGGCAUGCUUUACACAUGCAAGUCGAACGGCAGCGCGGGCUUCGGCCUGGCGGCGAGUGGCGAACGGGUGAGUAAUACACAGGAACGUGCCCAGCAGUUGGGGAUAGCACGGCGAAAGCCGGAUUAAUACCGCAUACGACCUGAGGGUGAAAGCGGGGGAUCUUUGGACCUCGCGCUAUUUGAGGGCCCGAUGGCAGAUUAGCUAGUUGGUGGGGUAACGGCCUACCAAGGCGACGAUCUGUAGCUGGUCUGAGAGGACGACCAGCCACACUGGAACUGAGACACGGCCCAGACUCCUACGGGAGGCAGCAGUGGGGAAUUUUGGACAAUGGGCGAAAGCCUGAUCCAGCAAUGCCGCGUGUGUGAUGAAGGCCUUCGGGUUGUAAAGCACUUUUGGCGGGAACGAAAAGAACUGUGCCAAUACCACGAUUCGAUGACGGUACCCGCAGAAUAAGCACCGGCUAACUACGUG